GGCUACCGCAUCGCCGGCGGCCCCCUCGGGGAGAUCACCGACCCCAUCUACCCCGGCGGGAGCUUCGACCCCUUGGGGCUGGCCGAUGACCCCGAGGCCUUCGCCGAGCUCAAGGUGAAGGAGAUAAGAAGGGAGACUUGCAUGUUCUCGAUGUUCGGAUUCUUCGUUCAGGCCAUCGUCACCGGAAAGGGGCCGUUGGAGAACCUCGCCGACCACCUUGCCGACCCGGUCAACAACAAUGCAUGGGCCUUCGCCACCAACUUUGUGCCCGGAAAGUGAGGGGUGGAUAUGAUGAUGAGUUUUUGUGGUGUAAAUGUGUUGAGCUAAUGGGAAUUAUCUAAUUUUUUGUUUUGCAUUAGCUUUGUUAAUGAUGUGGUUCGUGGUGACGGAUCUUAUGUUGUUUGUAUAAUCUGCUAUCACCAGAUUUUAUGUGAAUUGUGAUGUUCCUUAA
rnacentral:lncRNA from 1 species